ensembl:lncRNA TCF12-DT TCF12 divergent transcript
AAAGCCCGCGGUCGGGUGAGGCGGGACGGAGUUGGGGCCGGUGGGGAGGGGCAUGAGGCGCUCGCAGGCACCUCGAGAAGCAGGCCCCGACCGCUCGCCGACGAAGCCUCGUCCGGGCCUCCUGGGAGCGGGGUGGCAGGUACCGUGGCGCCUCCUCGCGUUGGUCUUGCUGGUUCUCGGCCCCCGAAGCGGAGCGACGGAGACACAGCUGUGGAAGCAUCUGGAUCCGCUGCCCAGGUCCCCGAGCUUCCCGGAACCCGAGGCCGCAGGACACUGAAGGCUGCCAUUCCCGAGUAGGUCACGCUGGACGCCACCCUAAGCUGGGCCCAGAGGCUCCCGUCCAGGAGGGCUGCAGUCGGCGCAGACACCGCGCGUGUGGAGACGGGAGACCCAUCCUCCUCGGCCGUUCCGAGAGUAGGCGCGGCCGGUCAGAUUCGAUGCAGAGCCGAAUGCGGGAGAAAGGGCAAAACGUACCUCAAACCAGACAAAGCCUUGUGAGCUUCAGGUUCUCAAAUACCCCACUCACCCAGACCCCACAUCUCCAGUCAGCCCCUCGCACCCAAAUCCCAUUCGGAGCAACCGAACUGCACGUGGGACUAGUUCUUGGGAAUGGAUCAAGCCAGUCUCUUCAUCUAACGGAGACAGCCCUGGGUGGCUCUGUCACACAGCCACUGUCUUGUGCACAAGUUCUGAACUUGGCCUCAGAGAAGCCCCAGAGUAGAAAGAAGACAAAAUAAGCCCCAGUUCUUCGAUUCUGGGCUGAAGUGAGAUUUUCUUGAAUGGCAGCCAUUGUUUUGCCUCUUAGGUAAGUGAGUGCAGUAAAGACCGGUAAGGCCCACGCAGAAGAAACACUGAGGAAAGAAGACACUUCCAAAGUAACAAAUGGGAGGAAGCAGCCAACGCCCGAGGACAACAUGGCAAGAAGGAGCCUUUGGAUUCCGGACUGGGAUGGAAAGAGAGUUGAUUGAAUCCCGGAAUUUGGAAACCCCAGAUACGGAGGGCGGACGGUACAACCGGAGCUGUCAGGUGGAUUUCCAAGGCUUUGCAUUGGCUGUACCUGAAACUUAUGGUGGCCUAGACUCCCCAGUAUCCACUCUUCCUUAUCUUGAAUCUUGCUCUGUCACCCAGGCUGGAGUGCAAUGGUGCAAUCUCAAGCUCACUGCAACCUCUGUGCAGGUUCAAGUGGAGAAUCUGAAUCUUGAUGAUAUAAUUGGAACUCUUCAGCCAAGCCAUAUCUAACAGAACUAUCUUCAACUUUUCAGACUUCACAGGGUUCCUUCUCCAGCUGAGCUCCAAGUGGAGCUUUGAGAGAAAAACAGAAGGGUGAUGGCUAGAAGACUCAGGCUUCCAAAGUAUUCCUCUCCUGAGUAUCAGCUACCAGGUGAAUUUCACAAUGAGGAUGACAACUUGGAAGGGGCAAGAGUCACGUGCCUGAGGGGAAAGGUCACCAGGGUGCAAUCUCUGUUAAUCCUUCUCUAUACCCAGCUUCCCGAUGCGGCCUGUACAGAAACAAGCACGCAGGCACUUAAGAGGACAGUGGUUUCACCGUGUCCCUCCCGGCGGCGCUCCCCACCUUUCCUUCCUCCCCACACGCCCCUCCCAGGCUGCAGGCUUAGCAGCCGACUUCCGCUGAUCCCGGCUGGAGGGAGCCUGGAAUCCAAUUACUCUUCCCUAGGGAGCGCAAUCCACCCGUCUGGCCGCAAAGAGCGGAGCCGGGGUCCGAGAGCCGCACAGGCCGGCCCUGCUCCGCCCGCCCCCACUUCCCGCCACCCCUGCCUCGGGCUCGGCAGCCCGGGCGGGGCGAGCAGAGCCGCGUAGAGGUGCGCGGCACUGCCGCCGGAACUAUUUGUCCUUCCGCGCGCGGCCCGGCCCGGCGGGGCGAGAGGUUCGCGGCGCUGCAUCCCGGGCGCCGACGUCAGCCGGGCUGAGUGGCAGGAGAUUAGCCAAGGGCUUCCCCCGCCGCGCGUCCGGGCCAAUCGGCUCCGCGGGCGGUGCUCCAGGGACGCGCACACGCACUUUCCAGAAUCCACGCCUCCCAGCAACAGCCUCCAGCACCGCGACGCUGCCCUUCCGGCCCGCUUUCUUCGUCCGGCCUGCUACGGCUGCGGGCUUGGACCCUGGCCUCUAGUCUCCUGCGUGCUGCUCCCUAAAGUGACAGGGAAACGGGGCAAGAGGUCCAAGGGUUCCGUAGGAGAAAGAGUAUCUGUGGCUCUCCCACCGUCCCGGCUUCCCUAACGGACUAGGGAGUGAAGCUCUGGAGAUGGAUCUUUGGGAGGAAAAAACUGGACCUCUCUUCGGGUUCUUUAGAGUUUAGGUGGAGAACUCUUUCAGUACCAUUGAGUGUUCUCUAGUAAGAGGAUCUUACACUGUUGGGUUUCUCACUUGCUUUAAAAUUGUGGUCAGAGUACUUCAUAAAUCCUUUCCUUUCUGCAUCUGGGGGAAGGAAAAAAAAUGCAACACUCUCUUUACACAUUGUCAGACUUUCGAGGCCGCAACGCAACUGACAUACAUGCUAGAAGGAGAAAGUGCUAUAUUAUGCCUUGUGUCCUCUUUUGAAUCACAUUCUCCUGAGAUGUGGCUGACCCUUAGGCCCAUGGUGUUCCUGAAUGUGAUUGACAUGCGUAGUUAGCAAGCUAGUGAGAGAGAACCAGGAAAAUUGCUAUCAAAACAAUUACAUACAGGGACAUCAGAACAAACGCUUGAGACCACUGGGGAAUGAGGGACCAUCCCAGUUCUGCCACGGAUGCCUUCGGGGAUGGUGGCCAAGUCAGAUCUUUGUGUCUUGUUUCUUCGUAGCAGAUUGAAUAGAACUAUCUUCACCACACUCACUAUUUCAAAGUGUGUUAUAAACAUUUCACUUAAGGUGAAAAUGUUGAAGGUUUUAUUUUGGGUGGAGGGAAGGUGGUGCCAUUGAAAGGCACUCUCUGAAGGGAAGAUUCUGUAAAAGGAAGCCAUUUUAUCUGCCUACAAUUUGGUCAUUUCAAAGAAAUUCAAUGUAUAUGUGUUAAGACUAAUUU